rnacentral:rRNA from 1 species
AUUGAACGCUGGCGGCAGGCCUAACACAUGCAAGUCGAACGGUAGCACAGAGAGCUUGCUCUCGGGUGACGAGUGGCGGACGGGUGAGUAAUGUCUGGGAAACUGCCCGAUGGAGGGGGAUAACUACUGGAAACGGUAGCUAAUACCGCAUAACGUCGCAAGACCAAAGUGGGGGACCUUCGGGCCUCACACCAUCGGAUGUGCCCAGAUGGGAUUAGCUAGAAGGUGGGGUAAUGGCUCACCUAGGCGACGAUCCCUAGCUGGUCUGAGAGGGUGACCAGCCACACUGGAACUGAGACACGGUCCAGACUCCUACGGGAGGCAGCAGUGGGGAAUAUUGCACAAUGGGCGCAAGCCUGAUGCAGCCAUGCCGCGUGUAUGAAGAAGGCCUUCGGGUUGUAAAGUACUUUCAGCGGGGAGGAAGGCGGUGAAGUUAAUAACUUCACCGAUUGACGUUACCCGCAGAAGAAGCACCGGCUAACUCCGUGCCAGCAGCCGCGGUAA